rnacentral:lncRNA from 1 species
AAUUGUAGGCUAAAAUGUGUCUGCUAAAUGAACUAGUGUAGUCCAUAGCCAGAUCAGGGCCUAACAUGAUAACUCAGAGUAUGCUAUUCUGUUCUUCUGAAAUAAACUACGUUUUCUUCAUAUCAUGUUUCUUUAGACCUGUUUAAAAUAAAUCAUGGAUUUAUUGUGAAGGUAUAGACUAUAUUACAUGGAUUUAUUGUGAAGGUGUAGACUAUAUUACAUGGAUUUAUUGUGAUGGUGUAGGUAGACUAUAUUACAUGGAUUUAUUGUGAUGGUAUAGACUAUAUUACAUGGAUUUAUUGUGAUGGUGUAGACUAUAUUACAUGGAUUUAUUGUGAUGGUGUAGACUAUAUUACAUGUAUUUAUUGUGAUGGUGUAGACUAUAUUACAUGGAUGUAUUGUGAUGGUGUAGACUAUAUUACAUGGAUUUAUAGUGAUGGUGUAGACUAUAUUACAUGGAUUUAUUGUGAUGGUGUAGACUAUAUUACAUGGAUUUAUUGUGAUGGUGUAGGUAGACUAUAUUACAUGGAUUUAUUGUGAUGGUGUAGGUAGACUAUAUUACAUGGAUUUAUUGUGAUGGUGUAGACUAUAUUACAUGGAUUUAUUGUGAUGGUGUAGGUAGACUAUAUUACAUGGAUUUAUUGUGAUGGUGUAGACUAUAUUACAUGGAUUUAUUAGAUUUUUUAAAAUGUAGAUGUUCUGAAGGUCUGCAUCAGUGGUUUGUAGGCUACGUGUGGAAGCCAGGAGAAGCUAAAUGUGUUUAUGUUCAUUAACGGUCGAUUACUGUGAGAACGGUGGUUAUUUGCUUGACAUCACCGGCAGACUAAACGUCAUGGCCGCCACAGCCCCGCUCCAGGAAUUUGCUAAAUUCAAUUCACCUUGUCUCCCAUGUACAGUACAUGUUCAGAAGACAAGGGGUAGAUGAAACGUAAUGGAUUCUAAUCCAGAUGGCCUUAACUGGGUUCAAACUCUAUUGUUGCCCCGUGUUUCUGGAUGACACCAGUUAAACACAGCACAUUUCAUUCAACCACUUUGUCUUUAGAGAGAGACGGAGCAGGGGGGGGAUGUUGGGGUGACAAUGGGCUGUCCGACACUCACAACGGAGAGCGUGUCAGCCAGGAUAUCUUUCUGCCUGAGCUCCUUUCUGAGUUUAACUGCAUUGGAUUUUUGUUUGGCGGCGGAGUGUAUAUCAAGCCACCCCCCUUUGUGCGGCCACCGGUAAUGGUAAUGAAAGCAUGGCUAAAAUAUCUAAGUGGUCGUACUUCGUUAAGGAAGCGGCGGGAGCGGUGGUGGGAGCGGUGAAGGGGAGGGGCUGUAGGAGGCUGUAGGAUCGUGCUUGGGGUGAGAAUCAGUCUGCAUAAGGUAAGCGCAGAGAGGGAGAGAGGGAGAGGGGAUAGAAAGAGAGAGGGAGGGAGAGAGAGGGGAGAGGGAAGGAGAGAGGGAGAUAGAGAGAAUGGGCCUGCUGCAGAGAGGGAGAGAGAGAGGGGGGAUAGAAAGAGAGAGGGAGGGAGAGAGAGAGGGAGAGGGAAGGAGAGAGGGAGAUAGAGAGAAUGGGCCUGCUGCAGUUUGGCAGCCAGUUGUAAUGCAUCUCUAUGACAUCAUUCUCUGACAAAGUGUGAGGACGUCAUCAAAUUAAAGGCAUUUGUUUUAUGUAGAGUUACAGAUGUCUGAUGCUAUAUUGAAAUUCCAGUACUCCUUCACCUCCACAUUCACUGGUUCUAGCUAAAUUGGAAAAAAAAUGAUAUCACUGUCUGUCUGUCUUGUCUUGUCUGUCUGUCUGUCUGUCUGUCUGUCUGUCUGUCUGUCUGUCUGUCUGUCU